GAAAUAAAUACUACAGCUGCCAGAGACUCAGGGCCUCCACCUGCAUUCAGCAGACACCAUAGGGGGUCUCAUUCCCCUACCCUACAAGGUCCUACAUGUGAGGAGACUUGGGGGCAAGAGGGGAGCCAACUGUCCAGACAUGGCUGGAACCACAUCAAGUGAUUGAACCCGAAACCUUGGUGUAUCAGGAUGGCACUCUAACCAACUGCGGCACCCGGCUGUGGCCUGUCAUUGUUUUUCCUGAUGCUUCAGGUAUGUCAUCAGGUUUGGCUCCUGUGUCCUUGUAGUAUGUCCUGUCACUCUUCUUCUUUUUUUUUAACCCUCACUCGAGGAUAUUUU